CUACUACUCCCUCCGUCCGAAAAUACUUGUCAUUGAAAUGGAUGUAUCUAGAUGUAUUUUAGUUCUAGACACAUCCAUUUUGAUGACAAAUAAUUCCAGACGGAGGGAGUAUUAU
rnacentral:pre_miRNA from 1 species